rnacentral:rRNA from 1 species
GUGACCCCAGGUCAGGCGGGGA